rnacentral:rRNA from 1 species
GCCAGACUCCUACGGGAGGCAGCAGUGGGGGAUAUUGCACAAUGGGGGAAACCCUGAUGCAGCGACGCCGCGUGGGCGAAGAAGUAUUUCGGUAUGUAAAGCCCUAUCAGCAGGGAAGAAGAAAUGACGGUACCUGAGUAAGAAGCACCGGCUAAAUACGUGCCAGCAGCCGCGGUAAUACGUAUGGUGCAAGCGUUAUCCGGAUUUACUGGGUGUAAAGGGGGCGCAGACGGCGAUGCAAGCCAGGAGUGAAAGCCCGGGGCCCAACCCCGGGACUGCUCUUGGAACUGCGUGGCUGGAGUGCAGGAGGGGCAGGCGGAAUUCCUGGUGUAGCGGUGAAAUGCGUAGAUAUCAGGCGGAACACCGGUGGCGAAGGCGGCCUGCUGGACUGCAACUGACGUUGAGGCCCGAAAGCGUGGGGAGCAAACAGGAUUAGAUACCCGUGUA